AUUGAACGCUGGCGGCAUGCUUUACACAUGCAAGUCGAGCGGCAGCGCGGGGGCAACCCUGGCGGCGAGCGGCGAACGGGUGAGUAAUGCAUCGGAACGUAUCCUCGAGUGGGGGAUAACCCAGCGAAAGUUGGGCUAAUACCGCAUGAGCUCUGAGGAGGAAAGCGGGGGACCUGCGAGGGCCUCGCGCUGGAGGAGCGGCCGAUGUCCGAUUAGCUAGUUGGUGGGGUAAAGGCUUACCAAGGCGACGAUCGGUAGCUGGUCUGAGAGGAUGAUCAGCCACACUGGGACUGAGACACGGCCCAGACUCCUACGGGAGGCAGCAGUGGGGAAUUUUGGACAAUGGGGGCAACCCUGAUCCAGCCAUGCCGCGGGAGUGAAGAAGGCCUUCGGGUUGUAAAGCUCUUUCGGACGGAACGAAAUGGGCGGGACUAAUACUCCUGUCUGAGGACGGUACCGUAAGAAGAAGCACCGGCUAACUACGU
rnacentral:rRNA from 1 species